AAACUUGGGGCGUCUCCGCCCCAUUGUUGGGGUGACACAGAUUAAAGAAUGGGCUACGAGGUUUCAUGGCUGGGAAACGCCGGCGCCCCUCUCGCCACGUCGGCCCGACGUCGGCCCUUCAGUCGCCGCUUCUCCUUGAAGUCGAUCUCCGCUAGCAGCGUCGACGGAGCGCCCGGGUCGGCGGCGCCCGUGGAUCGACGCUGGUAUAAUCCAGACAGGAGGAAGAGAGAGUUUUAUUCCCCUCCGAAACCCGUUCGGCGUUGGGUCCAAGCCGAGCACACGACGCUUCACGAUUGCCCAAGCAAAGACAGUUUUGUGCUUCUUUCAUACAAUAUCUUGGGGGAAUAUAAUGCUUCUAAACAUCAUGAGCUUUAUUGGAAUAUUCCUUCUGAUUUUAUGAACUGGAACUCAAGGAAGAGGCUCAUCUGCCAUGAAAUCAGAAGGUGGAAUGCUGAUUUACUUUGCCUUCAGGAAGUCGAUAGGUAUGAAGAUAUCUCUAUAUGUAUAAGGGGAAAAGGUUAUGUUGGCGGUUAUAAGGGACGCACUGGAGGGGUUAAGGAUGGAUGUGCUUUAUUCUGGAAAAAAGAACGGUUCAAAUUACUUGAGGUGGAUAACAUUGAGUUUAGGUCUUUCGGUCUGCGUAAUAAUGUUGCUCAGCUCUUUGUACUUGAGUUAUCUGAAGAUGAUCAAAGGAGGGUAGUAGUUGGAAAUAUUCAUGUACUAUUUAAUCCAAAGCGUGGAGAUGUCAAGUUUGGACAGGUUCAUAGACUAUUGCUGAAGGCAAAUGAGCUUUCAGAAAAAUGGGGUGGAAUUCCUGUUGUGCUUGCUGGUGAUUUUAAUAGUACACCGGAGAGUGCAAUCUAUGAGUUUUUGUCAACAUCUAAGCUGAACAUUGCUUUGCACGGCAGAAAAAAAGUAUUUAGGCAGGAUAAAUGUCAGUUUGUCCUAGAUGAUCUGCCUUGUUUAAUCAAUGAUUGGAAUGGUGAAAAUUUGACAAGGGCAAUUGUGAAUUCACACGAUUCACUAAUUACACAUCCAUUGCAGCUGAAAAGCUCUUAUGCUAGUGUUCAGAGAAAUGCAAGUACAAGAAAUUCUCAGGGUGAACCACUAGCAACCAGCUGCCACUCCAAGUUUCUUGGGACUGUUGACUAUAUCUGGUACUCAACUGGACUUGCUUGUAUCAGAGUUCUGGAUACACUGCCCUUGGACACGCUAAGGAAGCUAGGUGGCCUACCUUGCAAGGUAAAACAUUUUUGUCAAUAGUGAAUCACUUAAUGGCUAAUAACCUGCCAAACUGUAUUAUUGAGAUUCUUGACUAGUGAAAGGGCUUUCGGAAAAUAAUACACUGAUGACGAUUAUAAUUUAGGUUAUUGGAAGUGAUCACUUGGCUCUAGUAGCUGAGUUCAAAUUCACAAGAGGCAAUGAGUUACAACAGGAUGGGAACUAAAUUGAUAAGAGCUAGAAGAGGAGGAAUUGAUACAAGAGCAGAAGCAUUUCGAUGUUGUCUUUGGAUUAAUUUAGCAUCGUCAUCCUUUUUUCAUUGGACAUUGCACUCCCAGAUCAAGCAUCUUUAUGUGAAGGUCAGGAUUGUGGCAAAAGCCACCAUAUUCCUCUGCAACAUGGGAACAAUUGAAAAAAAUUGAUGUACUCUAUACUUGUUACACUAAUAUAAUGUAAAGAGCUGUCUUGUACACACAACCAGGCGCCCUUAAUUUCCUUGAUCAAUAAGCUCCCAUGAAAAACUGCCAAAGAUGAAAAUAAUUUGAACUUCUCAGGAACAUUUUUUAUUUAAUUUUACUCUUUCCAUUCA